AACGAACGCUGGCGGCAUGCCUAACACAUGCAAGUCGAACGAACUCUUCGGGUCUAGUGGCGCACGGGUGAGUAACGCGUGGGAACCUGCCUUUAGGUUCGGAAUAACUCCCCGAAAGGGGUGCUAAUACCGGAUAAUGUCUUCGGACCAAAGAUUUAUCGCCUUUGGAUGGGCCCGCGUUGGAUUAGCUAGUUGGUAGGGUAAAAGCCUACCAAGGCGACGAUCCAUAGCUGGUCUGAGAGGAUGAUCAGCCACACUGGGACUGAGACACGGCCCAGACUCCUACGGGAGGCAGCAGUGGGGAAUAUUGGGCAAUGGGCGAAAGCCUGAUCCAGCAAUGCCGCGUGAAUGAUGAAGGCCUUAGGGUUGUAAAACUCUUUUACCCGGGAUGAUAAUGACAGUACCGGGAGAAGAAGCUCCGGCUAACUCCGUG
rnacentral:rRNA from 1 species